UACGUAGGGUGCAAGCGUUGUCCGGAAUUAUUGGGCGUAAAGAGCUCGUAGGCGGUCUGUCGCGUCGGACGUGAAAAUCCAGGGCUCAACCCUGGACCUGCGUUCGAUACGGGCAGACUAGAGUUCGGUAGGGGAGACUGGAAUUCCUGGUGUAGCGGUGAAAUGCGCAGAUAUCAGGAGGAACACCGGUGGCGAAGGCGGUUCUCUGGGCAUUACCUGACGCUGAGGAGCGAAAGUGUGGGGAGCGAACAGG
rnacentral:rRNA from 1 species